UAAUCUCAUCAGGGCUGGUCUCCUGUGUCUUUUUACAUGUGUCCUUACAGCACAAGGCCCAGUUCAAUGUAAUGUCCAUUACAACCUAAUUUGAUAGAUGCUCUUAUCUUGAGUGGAAUGAAGGUCAAGCAUGUUUUAAACAAAUCCGCAAAAGAUGAAGGUUCAUUUCACAAAGUUCUUUAAGGUCAAGGGACAUUUCUUUGAAAAAUUCAGAGCCUAGCACAGAAUUAAAAAUUUGUUUUGAUAGAGUCAGAGAAUAAAGACAAUAGGAACAGAUUACAAAAACUUGUAAAAGCAACGGGGGUGUUUUUUUCUUAAGAAUUAAUCUCAUUUAAAUAAAGAGCUAUAUUAAAACAUAUAUAAUAUGUAUAUGUAGACACUUAAAUAUACAUAUACAUUAAAUUCUUUAAACAGACAUAUUUAUCCUUUAUCUCCUUUAACCUUAAUACAUACUCAUUAUAAAAAAUCAACAUGUAUAGAAAUAAGUAAAAUAGGAAGUUAGUAUUUCUUUAAUUUUACUCGUUAAAGGUGAUCCCUGUGAACUUUUUGGAUGCGUAGUUCCAUAUGUUUAAAUGUCUAUAUACAGAACUAUUUAGAUUUUUAAAAAUGAAAGAGAAAUCACAUUAGGGAUUAUGCAACCUUAUGUAUUUUACUAGACACAUAUGGACACAUACCAUUCUAUCAUGCAUUUUCCUAAUCAAAUAUUUUUUCCAGAAGUCAUCCCUAAGUAUGGUCUGUUAAGCAAAAUUAAAAAUAAAAUUUGAAUAUGAAUUAUUUUUAAAAUAAUUAUGGAAUUUUACCCUGCAUACUUUUUCAUAUAUUGAUGGGAAGGACAGAUUUGUGAGGGAGUGUAUCAUGUUAAUUAAACUCAGACAGCUUGGGAUGUUUCUAUUCAACUGAAAGAAAAGCCAUACUGUUUCUGAUGUUACAAGAGCUGUAUGUUACAAACAUGGAUAGUUUACAGUCAAGCGUGAAACAGAGAUUUGUGUAAAGCGCUGAUUUUCUGGGGCCCUAGAGAUGAAAGAAUGUAGACGUCGACAAAACAAAGUUAGGAGUGUCUGAAAAUAUCUGUCCGUUUAUACACGUAUUUAUAAACAUGAGUUACAUGUAUCAACAUAGCAUUGGGAAUUUUUUAAAUCAUGAAUGUGACAACAUGACUUCAAGAUUCCUGCAGGAAAGUGUGAUAUCCAGUGUUGCCUCCUAGGGUUGGUGACUUUGAAAUAUCCUGAUGAGAACCUCCUCUAGGAGGAAAAGGACCAGAUGAGUCUUGGCUAUUCUGGUGCUGAGUGUCAGUGAUGGAGUGGGUGCGGAGAGACAGAGACAGGAAGUAGAGACUGAGAGACAGAGACCACAUUAUGUGUAUGAACCAAUCAACCCAUUUCCAGAAUUUGUCACUGCAGACAAAACAACAUUUCUAGAGGCCACAGUUUUCCCAUUAGAAGUAACUCAUUAUUUACUCAAUUCAAGCAAAGAAACACAUGAUCAGAGACAUUUUCUAGCUGUCUAUUUAAAAUCAGAUCUUAAAAAUAAAAUAAUUGACAUAUGAUCAGUAGAAAACAGUUAAUAAAAAUUUAGCUAAAAGUAAUGGCCUAAAGAAAAUAGAAUACGACAAUUAAGCAGAAAUGGUGGAGGUCUAAAAUUAUGUUGCAAUGUCAAUGAUUUUGGCGCACAAUGGGUAAUUUUGCAACAUUUUAAGUAUUUUAUUGCAGUUUAUCCAUCUUUUGAAUUUUUUAUUUAAUAUUUUUGUUUUAUAAUUGUGGUUAAUUUUUGACUAUAUUUUUAUGCUCUUUGAAAUGCUGAAAGUUGAAAAAAUCUGUCUGAAACUGGCAGGUUAAAUUCUGAACAAUCUAUUAAUAGUCUCUUCUCUAGAUUAAAGCAAUAAUUUUCAAAACUAUCAACAGAGUUUAAAUGUACAAGAUCUAUUUCAGGCCUUUCCAGCCAUUGCUAUUGAUGCUCAGACGGUUCUGAAAAUUAGCCAGUGGCACCUGCUCUGUUUCCUCUGUCUCUUGGCCAUGACCGCUGUAAUUUUUGACAGCUUUUGCUUUUCAGCACAAGGGGCCAUAGAUCUCCUCAGCAUAUUUUCCACCCAGACCUGGAAUCCAUCAGAUGCCAUUUUCUCAAGGAGGAAAAUAAAGUUCUGAGACCAGACUCAAAAUCCCCGAGGGGGUCACCGCUACUGACUUGUCACUGCUCCUGGGACUCCUCAGCGGACAGGUAACAGACCAACAGGAGAAGCUGCAGCUGGCAGUGCUUCUGUGUGUUCCUAGCAACGGGAAACCAUGACAGAGCAGGGCCCCAACCGAGAGCCGUCUGCAUUUGCUCAUCUGGGAUGAGAUGUUGUAUGCCUAUACCUUGGCCAAGUGAACUUCUUGCCUUCAGGGAACAUACACAAAUCCCAAUCUCUGCCUGGCCAUUUGACCCCGGGAAGUGUCAGGCAGUGGCCGGUGAUGGCUUUCCUCUCCCUCAGUAGUGAUGUGAAGGUGGUGUGAUUCUCUGAGACGUGAGAUUUGGAGACAUGACAGUUGGAUGAAUUGCCUCGAGGUCAAAGGUUUGGGCUGUUCUCCAGAAAUUACGGCCUCCCGAAACUGCCAGACUGACCUACCCUGUGACUGAAUUUUGCAAUGAAACCUUAUUGGGUUGUUAUACACCACUGCAACCAGGCACCUUAAAAUUAGAUGGAAGAAACAGAAUGUUACCAGAGGAUGUGCUGACUGGAGGAAAAGGAAUUUAAGAAAUGAACUUUAUCUGAAUUCCUAUGUUCAUUGGACACAAACCUAUAAGAAGGUUACACAUGACUAAGCUUCACCGGUUCCUAUGCCUGCCACGUUCUGCUGUGCCAGUAGACACUGCAGUAAUUAAUGUCCAUCUCAACUUGAGCUAUUGAUUCAGCACCCUUCUGUCCUAGAGUUUCAGAAAUGCGUGCAUUUCAUCUCUUCUGUCCUCUGUCCUCUCUUCGCAGGCGAGCCAGAACUCCACAUUUUCUUCACUAAACUCCGAUUUGAGGAAUGUUCGAAAAGCAUCUAGGCCAGCUGGAAGAUACAUGAGAAAAACUCCUGAAACACGACCCAAUCGGAAGUCACAACAUUUUGGCAGCAUAUCUCAAGAUGAUACAGAGCUUUUCCAUCUGCAUGAAGCCUCUCUAUUAACUUCAGAAAACUACUGCUGCCUACCCUUCACUACUAAAGAUCUGUGACAGGCUAGUUAAUCUUCGGUGGAAUAUGCAAAUCGAACUGAAUUUGGCAUGCAGAUACCUUUCAGAGGAACGCUGGCAUUUACAGAAGAAAUGACAGAAGUGGCACAGGCACCCAAGGACCAGGAUGGCAGCUUCUUCGGGAAGCUGUGCUGCAAACCCCAUGUCAGUC